rnacentral:rRNA from 1 species
GAUGAACGCUGGCGGCGUGCCUAAUACAUGCAAGUCGAGCGAACGGACGAGAAGCUUGCUUCUCUGAUGUUAGCGGCGGACGGGUGAGUAACACGUGGAUAACCUACCUAUAAGACUGGGAUAACUUCGGGAAACCGGAGCUAAUACCGGAUAAUAUUUUGAACCGCAUGGUUCAAAAGUGAAAGACGGUCUUGCUGUCACUUAUAGGUGGAUCCGCGCUGCAUUAGCUAGUUGGUAAGGUAACGGCUUACCAAGGCAACGAUGCAUAGCCGACCUGAGAGGGUGAUCGGCCACACUGGAACUGAGACACGGUCCAGACUCCUACGGGAGGCAGCAGUAGGGAAUCUUCCGCAAUGGGCGAAAGCCUGACGGAGCAACGCCGCGUGAGUGAUGAAGGUCUUCGGAUCGUAAAACUCUGUUAUUAGGGAAGAACAUAUGUGUAAGUAACUGUGCACAUCUUGACGGUACCUAAUCAGAAAGCCACGGCUAACUACGUGCCAGCAGCCGCGGUAAUACGUAGGUGGCAAGCGUUAUCCGGAAUUAUUGGGCGUAAAGCGCGCGUAGGCGGUUUUUUAAGUCUGAUGUGAAAGCCCACGGCUCAACCGUGGAGGGUCAUUGGAAACUGGAAAACUUGAGUGCAGAAGAGGAAAGUGGAAUUCCAUGUGUAGCGGUGAAAUGCGCAGAGAUAUGGAGGAACACCAGUGGCGAAGGCGACUUUCUGGUCUGUAACUGACGCUGAUGUGCGAAAGCGUGGGGAUCAAACAGGAUUAGAUACCCUGGUAGUCCACGCCGUAAACGAUGAGUGCUGAGUGUUAGGGGGUUUCCGCCCCUUAGUGCUGCAGCUAACGCAUUAAGCACUCCGCCUGGGGAGUACGACCGCAAGGUUGAAACUCAAAGGAAUUGACGGGGACCCGCACAAGCGGUGGAGCAUGUGGUUUAAUUCGAAGCAACGCGAAGAACCUUACCAAAUCUUGACAUCCUUUGACAACUCUAGAGAUAGAGCCUUCCCCUUCGGGGGACAAAGUGACAGGUGGUGCAUGGUUGUCGUCAGCUCGUGUCGUGAGAUGUUGGGUUAAGUCCCGCAACGAGCGCAACCCUUAAGCUUAGUUGCCAUCAUUAAGUUGGGCACUCUAAGUUGACUGCCGGUGACAAACCGGAGGAAGGUGGGGAUGACGUCAAAUCAUCAUGCCCCUUAUGAUUUGGGCUACACACGUGCUACAAUGGACAAUACAAAGGGCAGCGAAACCGCGAGGUCAAGCAAAUCCCAUAAAGUUGUUCUCAGUUCGGAUUGUAGUCUGCAACUCGACUACAUGAAGCUGGAAUCGCUAGUAAUCGUAGAUCAGCAUGCUACGGUGAAUACGUUCCCGGGUCU